rnacentral:rRNA from 1 species
CAGUAGCCGCGGUAACACAGAGGGUGCGAGCGUUAAUCGGAUUUACUGGGCGUAAAGCGUGCGUAGGCGGCUUUUUAAGUCGGAUGUGAAAUCCCUGAGCUUAACUUAGGAAUUGCAUUCGAUACUGGGAAGCUAGAGUAUGGGAGAGGAUGGUAGAAUUCCAGGUGUAGCGGUGAAAUGCGUAGAGAUCUGGAGGAAUACCGAUGGCGAAGGCAGCCAUCUGGCCUAAUACUGACGCUGAGGUACGAAAGCAUGGGGAGCAAACAGGAUUAGAUACCCCAGUAGUCCCUGUCUCUUUACA